rnacentral:lncRNA from 1 species
CUAGUAUUUAAGUGGAGAAGGGUAGAGUUCAUAUAGCAAAAACCUUGUACUAUGAUCUAUGAUUGAUUCAGUGGCUGUUCAGCAUUAUUGUGGUUUAGUAGAGAAGAAUAAUAGAGUGCGUAGUAACGCUGUUUUUUGAAGGGUAUUAUCACUUUUAGCUUGUGCCAUAAAUUGUAUAAACUUUGUACUAUAAUUUAUAUAUA